rnacentral:rRNA from 1 species
AGCAGCCGCGGUAAUUCCAGCUCCAAUAGCGUAUAUUAAAGUUGUUGCAGUUAAAAAGCUCGUAGUUGAAUUUCGGGGUUAGUAAGUUGGUCGUGCCACUGGUAUGUACUGGCUUUACUGAUUCCUCCUUCUUGUAGAACCGUAAUGCCAUUAAGUUGGUGUUGCGGGGAAACAGGACUGUUACUUUGAAAAAAUUAGAGUGUUUAAAGCAAGCUAACGCUUGAAUACAUUAGCAUGGAAUAAUGAAAUAGGACGUUCGAUCCUAUUUUGUUGGUUUCUAGGAUUGACGUAAUGAUUAAUAGGGAUAGUUGGGGGCAUUAGUAUUCAAUUGUCAGAGGUGAAAUUCUUGGAUUUAUUGAAGACUAACUACUGCGAAAGCAUUUGCCAAGGAUGUUUUCAUUAAUCAAGAACGAAAGUUAGGGGAUCGAAGACGAUCAGAUACCGUCGUAGUCUUAACCAUAAACUAUGCCGACUAGGGAUCGGAUGAUGUUAAUUUUUAAUGACUCAUUCGGCGCCUUAC